rnacentral:rRNA from 1 species
GCAAGUCGAAUGGGUUUAGACCCAUGGCAGACGAGGUAGGAACACGUAGGUACAUACCCCAAAGUCAGGGAUAAUCCGGAGAAAUCCGGGAUAAUACUUGAUAGUCUCUUCGGAGUAAAGUUUUAACGCUUUGGGAAUGGCCUGCGGUCUAUCAGCUUGUUGGUUAGGUAACGGCUUACCAAGGCUACGACGGAUAGGGGAGGUGAGAGCCUGACC